rnacentral:rRNA from 1 species
AUUGCAGUCUGCAACUCGACUGCAUGAAGUCGGAAUCGCUAGUAAUCGCAGAUCAGCAAAGCUGCGGUGAAUACGUUCCCGGGCCCUUGUACACACCGCCCGUCACACCACGGGAGUCGGUCGCGCCUGAAGCCGGUGGCCUAUCAGUAAUGGGGGAGCCGUCUAUGGCGAGAUUGGUAACUGGGGUGAAGUCGUAACAAGGUAUC